UACGUAGGGACCGAGCGUUGUCCGGAUUCAUUGGGCGUAAAGAGCUCGUAGGCGGCCACUCAAGUCGAAUGUGAAACCUCGAGGCUUAACCUCGAGCCUGCAUUUGAUACUGGGCGGCUAGAGUCUGGUAGGGGGAUCUGGAAUUCCUGGUGUAGCGGUGGAAUGCGCAGAUAUCAGGAGGAACACCGGUGGCGAAGGCGGGAUCCUGGGCCAGUACUGACGCUGAGGAGCGAAAGCUAGGGGAGCAAACGGG
rnacentral:rRNA from 1 species